UACAGAGGGGGCAAGCGUUGUUCGGAAUUACUGGGCGUAAAGGGCGCGUAGGCGGCCUGCUAAGUCGAACGUGAAAUCCCUGGGCUCAACCCAGGAACUGCGUCCGAUACUGGUUGGCUUGAAUCCGGGAGAGGGAUGUGGAAUUCCAGGUGUAGCGGUGAGAUGCGUAGAUAUCUGGAGGAACACCGGUGGCGAAGGCGACAUCCUGGACCGGUAUUGACGCUGAGGCGCGAAAGCCAGGGGAGCAAACGGG
rnacentral:rRNA from 1 species